rnacentral:rRNA from 1 species
UACGUAGGGCGCAAGCGUUGUCCGGAAUUAUUGGGCGUAAAGAGCUCGUAGGCGGUUCGUCGCGUCUGCUGUGAAAACCUCAGGCUCAACCUGGGGCUUGCAGUGGGUACGGGCAGACUAGAGUGCGGUAGGGGUGACUGGAAUUCCUGGUGUAGCGGUGGAAUGCGCAGAUAUCAGGAGGAACACCGAUGGCGAAGGCAGGUCACUGGGCCGCAACUGACGCUGAGGAGCGAAAGCAUGGGGAGCGAACAGG